UACGAAGGGUGCAAGCGUUACUCGGAAUUACUGAGCGUAAAGCGUGCGUAGGUGGUUUGUUAAGUCUGUUGUGAAAGCCCCGGGCUCAACCUGGGAAUGGCAAUGGAUACUGGCAGGCUAGAGUGCGGUAGAGGGUAGUGGAAUUCCCGGUGUAGCGGUGAAAUGCGUAGAGAUCGGGAGGAACACCAGUGGCGAAGGCGGCUACCUGGACCAGCACUGACACUGAGGCACGAAAGCGUGGGGAGCAAACAGG
rnacentral:rRNA from 1 species